rnacentral:rRNA from 1 species
CAGCAGCCGCGGGAAUACGAAGGGUGCAAGCGUUAAUCGGAAUUACUGGGCGUAAAGCGUGCGUAGGCGGUUUGUUAAGUCUGUUGUGAAAUCCCCGGGCUCAACCUGGGAAUGGCGAUGGAUACUGGCAAGCUAGAGUGUGUCAGAGGAUGGUGGAAUUCCCGGUGUAGCGGUGAAAUGCGUAGAGAUCGGGAGGAACAUCAGUGGCGAAGGCGGCCAUCUGGGACAACACUGACGCUGAGGCACGAAAGCGUGGGGAGCAAACAGGAUUAGAUACCCCAGUAGUCCCUGUCUCUUAUAC